GCUCAGGCGGAGAGGAUCACUUUUCAAAGAUUGUAAAAGAAGUUACGUGGAUAGUGUGUGUUAUGCAGCAAGGGAAAGGAAUGGAAAAUCAGAAGACGUGUUUAGAUCACACAAACCAGAGGUGAAAGCUGAAUCUGAGAGGCUUCUGUUUCCAGCAAUAAGGGCCAAUAAUACCCCAAGCUCCUGACUGAAACCAAACACUCUGGAGGGACACUCUCACAUGCAGGCCAGAAGGAAUUUGAAUAGAAGGAAACAGGCUAAAGAAGAGAGCUCAUGGCAAAAAUUACAAACCAUACAAGGAAGGCAUUCACCACAGUGAGAGUGAGUAAAAACAGCAGAAUUACAACCUAAAACUUGCCAACAUGGACCAUAAAUUAAAUUUGGAAUGGAAGCCACACAUGACAUGGGAACAAGAUGGAAAACUUUAGGGUUAUCAUUGGGAUUUCCUGGCUUUUCCAAUCAACCUAUGGCCUCUAACAAGCUCACAAAACAGCAGGCUGAAGCUAUGUUCAUCUAAAAGCAAAACAUUUGGUCAAUUAAACCAAUUUAAUAAAAAAAC
rnacentral:lncRNA from 1 species